rnacentral:rRNA from 1 species
CCUACGGGGGGCUGCAGUGAGGAAUAUUGCACAAUGGGGGAAACCCUGAUGCUGCGACGCCGCGUGGGUGAAGAAGCGCCUCGGCGCGUAAAGCCCUGUCAGCAGGGAAGAAAAUGACGGUAACUGAAGAAGAAGCCCCGGCUAACUCGGUGCCAGCAGCCGCGGUAAUACGUAGGGGGCAAGCGUGAUCCGGAUUUACUGGGUGGAGAGGUGGCGCAGGCGGCGGUGCAAGCCAGGAGUGAAAGCCCGGGGCCCAACCCCGGGACGGCGCAUGGAACUGCGUGGCUAGAGUGCAGGAGGGGGAGGCGGAAUUCCUGGUGUAGCAGUGAAAUGCGUAGAUAUCAGGAGGAACACCGGUGGCGAAGGCGGGCUGCUGGACUGCAACUGACGUUGAGGCCCGAAGGCGUGGGGAGCAAACAGGAUUAGAUACCCUUGUAGUC